rnacentral:rRNA from 1 species
AUGGAGAAGUACGAGCCGGUCCGGGAGAUCGGGUCGGGCAACUUCGGGGUGGCCAAGCUGAUGCGCAACCGGGACACGCGCGAGCUCGUCGCCAUGAAGUUCAUCGAGCGAGGAUACAGGAUCGACGAGAACGUGUUCCGGGAGAUCGUGAACCACCGGUCGCUGCGGCACCCCAACAUCAUCCGUUUCAAGGAGGUGGUGCUCACGCCCACGCACCUGGGCAUCGUCAUGGAGUACGCCGCCGGCGGCGAGCUCUUCGAGCGCAUCUGCGACGCCGGCCGCUUCCACGAGGACGAGGCGCGCUACUUCUUCCAGCAGCUCGUCUGCGGCGUCAGCUUCUGCCACGCCAUGCAGAUCUGCCACCGCGACCUCAAGCUCGAGAACACACUCCUCGACGGCAGCCCCGCGCCGCGCCUCAAGAUCUGCGACUUCGGAUACUCAAAGUCGUCGGUGCUGCACUCGCGGCCUAAGUCGACGGUGGGCACGCCGGCGUACAUCGCGCCGGAGGUGCUGUCGCGCCGCGAGUACGACGGGAAGCACGCGGACGUGUGGUCGUGCGGGGUGACGCUCUACGUGAUGCUCGUCGGCGGCUACCCGUUCGAGGACACCAAGGACCCCAAGAACUUCCGCAAAACCAUCGCGCGGAUCAUGUCGGUGCAGUACAAGAUCCCCGAGUACGUGCACGUCUCGCAGACCUGCCGCCACCUGCUCUCCCGCAUCUUCGUCGCCGACCCGCGCAAGCGCAUCACCAUGGCCGAGAUCAAGGCGCACCCCUGGUUCCUCAAGAACCUGCCGCGGGAGCUCAAGGAGGAGGCGCAGCAGGCCUACUACAACCGCCGGCACGUCGACGUCGCUCCCUCCUCCAACGGCAGCGCCGCCGGUGCGAGCGCGGCGGCCUCCUCCAAUGGCGCCGCCGCAGUGCCCGCGCCCGCGCCGGCCUACUCGGCGCAGAGCGUGGAGGAGAUCAUGAAGAUCGUGCAGGAGGCGCAGACGGUGCCCAAGCCCGACAAGCCGGUGUCGGGGUACGGCUGGGGCACCGGUGACGGCGAGGCGUCCGACGAGGACGAGGGCAACCAGGAGGGGGAGGAGGAGGAGUACGGCGAGGACGAGUAUGACCGGACGGUGCGGGAGGUGCACGCCAGCGGGGACUUCGGCAUGAGCAAGCUCCAAAUCUGA